AGCGAACGCUGGCGGCAGGCCUAACACAUGCAAGUCGAACGAACUCUUCGGAGUUAGUGGCGGACGGGUGAGUAACACGUGGGAACGUGCCCUUUGGUACGGAAUAACUCAGGGAAACUUGAGCUAAUACCGUAUGUGCCCUUCGGGGGAAAGAUUUAUCGCCAUUAGAGCGGCCCGCGUCUGAUUAGCUAGUUGGUGAGGUAAAGGCUCACCAAGGCUACGAUCAGUAGCUGGUCUGAGAGGAUGAUCAGCCACAUUGGGACUGAGACACGGCCCAAACUCCUACGGGAGGCAGCAGUGGGGAAUCUUGCGCAAUGGGCGAAAGCCUGACGCAGCCAUGCCGCGUGAAUGAUGAAGGUCUUAGGAUUGUAAAAUUCUUUCACCGGGGACGAUAAUGACGGUACCCGGAGAAGAAGCCCCGGCUAACUUCGUG
rnacentral:rRNA from 1 species